GACGAACGCUGGCGGCGUGCUUAACACAUGCAAGUCGAGCGGUAAGGCUCCUUCGGGCGUACACGAGCGGCGAACGGGUGAGUAACACGUGAGUAAUCUGCCCUUCACUUCGGGAUAACCACCGGAAACGGUGGCUAAUACCGAAUACGACCAGUCUUCGCAUGAGGUGCUGGUGGAAAGUCUUUUCGGUGAAGGAUGUGCUCGCGGCCUAUCAGCUUGUUGGUGGGGUAAUGGCCUACCAAGGCUUCGACGGGUAGCCGGCCUGAGAGGGUGACCGGCCACACUGGGACUGAGACACGGCCCAGACUCCUACGGGAGGCAGCAGUGGGGAAUAUUGGACAAUGGGCGAAAGCCUGAUCCAGCAACGCCGCGUGAGGGAUGACGGCCUUCGGGUUGUAAACCUCGUUCAGUACCGACGAAGCGCCCUGUCGGGUGGUGACGGUAGGUACAGAAGAAGGACCGGCCAACUACGUG
rnacentral:rRNA from 1 species